CAAAGUGAUUUGCCCUUUCCCUAGGAGAUUAUAAAGCGGGAAUCUAUUUUGAUGGUUAAUCAUUAAAUGGAGUCCUUUCCAUUUUCAGGAACAGAGCAUUUCCUAAAAGAAACGGUGCCUGAAAUGAAACGCUAUGUAUUCCAGCAACCUCGGCUUGCAAAUAAGCUGACGGUUAUGCAAGCAAUGGCACAUGUGGAUCAGGUACUGUCUGAAUAAGCAACUGGAACUAUUUGGUUUACAAAUAGUGAGCUGGUACCCAUGGCACCUUAGGCAACAGGUAACUCCUUCUGUGCAGGUUGUUAUCAUCUGGGUUAUCUAAAAUAUGCUUUCUGCUGCACUUGCUGCAGGGGGCUGCAGUGUUUAUCAGAUUCAUGGACUUGUACCUCUGUAAUUCUUACAGAACUGGAUGGCCAUGAGCUGUUCUCCUCAUGAAUUCUCCAGGCUUGGUACAUGGAAAAUAUGCUCCUUCUGCAGGGAACUGGAAAGAAGAAAAUCUCAACUUCAAGAUUGUGUUGCAUUUAGCUCACAUCACUGUAGAAUUUUUGACACACAGAGAUGGAAUAGUGAAUGCUGCUGUCAAUAAAUAACCGCAUCUUCCAAGUGCCCUUUCCUUGUAGUGGUAGCUUCUGUUUGGCCUCUAUUAGAACAUACCACCUGUGUUUUGCUAUGCUGUAUUUCGUUUUCCCAUCAGAGAUACUGAAGUGUAUUUCAGUGUUUGAGUGGAAAUCCCACUCAGCAUUAUUUGGAAAAUGCCCUGUUUGUUAACCAAACAGUUUGUGCUAGUUAUCACUGAGUCUAAAAGGAUAUCAGACUUCUGGAGAUUUAUCUAAGGCAAAAAUGGUUGCUAGAGAUCAAUGUCCAGAUCGCAAACUUCAUUCAUUUUCCUUCUGCAUACCAGAGACAAUGACUCAUGUUUUCUGUCUCUUCGUUUUGCAUGAGCCUUAGUAGAUGGCUCAUUUGCAGCCAAAGAGAAUAAAGACCUGCAAAUGGCAAAUUAAAUUCUUGCAGUUCAGUUUCAUCAUCUUUUCCCCAAAUUUGCAACAGAUUUUUUGCUAACACAAAAAUUUAAAAUCUGCAAUAGAUAUUUCACCCCAGUCGUAGGUGGGCUUCCUUAUUAAAUCACAAAAUCUUAACUG